GAUGAACGCUAGCUACAGGCUUAACACAUGCAAGUCGAGGGGCAGCAUGACCUAGCAAUAGGUUGAUGGCGACCGGCGCACGGGUGAGUAACACGUAUCCAACCUGCCGAUUAUUCCGGGAUAGCCUUUCGAAAGAAAGAUUAAUACUGGAUAGCAUAACGAGAAGGCAUCUUCUUGUUAUUAAAGAAUUUCGAUAAUCGAUGGGGAUGCGUUCCAUUCUUUUGUUGGCGGGGUAACGGCCCACCAAGACAUCGAUGGACAGGGGUUCUGAGAGGAAGGUCCCCCACAUUGGAACUGAGACACGGUCCAAACUCCUACGGGAGGCAGCAGUGAGGAAUAUUGGUCAAGGGACGAGAGUCUGAACCAGCCAAGUAGCGUGAAGGAUGACUGCCCUAUGGGUUGUAAACUUCUUUUAUAUGGGAAUAAAGUGGGCCACGUGUGGCUUUUUGUAUGUACCAUACGAAUAAGGAUCGGCUAACUCCGUG
rnacentral:rRNA from 1 species